CCCCGGUGACCUGCCACCCGGCCUCCUUCCGCUGUGGCGACGGCACCUGCGUCCCCUCGGCGUGGGUCUGUGACGGGCAGCACGACUGCAGCGACAACGCUGACGAGAGCAACUGCACCGUCACGGAGAGAACCUGCGCCCCGGACUAUUUCCUCUGUGGAGACGGACGCUGCAUCCCCUCCUCCUGGGUCUGUGAUGGACGCGCUGACUGCUUGGAUCUCAGUGACGAGGGGAACUGCACCACCGUAGAACCCGCCUGCUCGGUAACAGACUUUCUCUGUGAUGAUGGUACCUGCAUUCCUUCCUCUGGAGUCUGUGAUGGAGUGAAUCAGUGUGUGGACGGGAGUGACGAGAGGAAUUGUUCCACCGUAGAACCCACCUGUCCCCCAUCUGACUUCCGUUGUGAUGAUGGUACCUGCAUCCCCUCGACUGGAGUCUGUGAUGGAGUGAGUCAGUGUGUGGACAGGCGUGACGAGAGAA